rnacentral:rRNA from 1 species
CAGUCGCCGCGGUAAUACGUAGGGUGCGGGCGUUAAUCGGAAUUACUGGGCGUAAAGCGUGCGCAGGCGGUUAUAUAAGACAGAUGUGAAAUCCCCGGGCUCAACCUGGGACCUGCAUUUGUGACUGUAUAGCUAGAGUACGGUAGAGGGGGAUGGAAUUCCGCGUGUAGCAGUGAAAUGCGUAGAUAUGCGGAGGAACACCGAUGGCGAAGGCAAUCCCCUGGACCUGUACUGACGCUCAUGCACGAAAGCGUGGGGAGCAAACAGGAUUAGAGACCCGCGUAGUCCCUGUCUCUUAUAC